rnacentral:rRNA from 1 species
GACGAACGCUGGCGGCGUGCCUAACACAUGCAAGUUGAGCGCUGAAGGUUGGUACUUGUACCAACUGGAUGAGCAGCGAACGGGUGAGUAACGCGUGGGGAAUCUGCCUUUGAGCGGGGGACAACAUUUGGAAACGAAUGCUAAUACCGCAUAAAAACUUUAAACACAAGUUUUAAGUUUGAAAGAUGCAAUUGCAUCACUCAAAGAUGAUCCCGCGUUGUAUUAGCUAGUUGGUGAGGUAAAGGCUCACCAAGGCGAUGAUACAUAGCCGACCUGAGAGGGUGAUCGGCCACAUUGGGACUGAGACACGGCCCAAACUCCUACGGGAGGCAGCAGUAGGGAAUCUUCGGCAAUGGACGAAAGUCUGACCGAGCAACGCCGCGUGAGUGAAGAAGGUUUUCGGAUCGUAAAACUCUGUUGGUAGAGAAGAACGUUGGUGAGAGUGGAAAGCUCAUCAAGUGACGGUAACUACCCAGAAAGGGACGGCUAACUACGUG